UCACCCCUUUAAAGAAAAAAAGAGAAGGUUCUAUAUUACAGAACCUAGAGCUGAUGCCAAAAGGAUAUGUGCUUUGUCAAGACAUCCUGCUCCCACCAGACAGGAGCAACACAGAAAAUUAGGCUACAGCGAAGAACUCUGAAAACUGAGUAGGAAGCUAAUCACACGCUGAAAAUAACUGCUGCCCUGCCCUGCCUCUGGAACACUGAGAAGCCACCAGCCCUAAUAUUUACUGUUUACCAAGCAAGUGGAGUAAGACGAAAAUGUGGAACAAGUUCGUUUUUCAAAUGUAUUUACUUGACAUCCCAACCGCCGUUUCCCCUGCCUCUUCUCCGGUCCCCCCACUCCGCCCUUCUGCCCGCCUCCCCAAAUCCACAUCCUCCUCCAUUAGCAGUUCGUUUUUAAAAUGCCAAAAGUUCCUGCAGCCUUGCUGUAGCUCUGGAAUAUCAUGUCUCACUGGAAAAGGGCAAAAUGGCCAGCUGCCUGCUGCGUUCCCUUCUGACUUUCAGAGCUUACAUCCCAGUAUAGAAUAAAGGUAAUUAUAUAUAUAU